GGAAUUAUUAUUAUAAGUGAUAUAAUUGAUUAUUUGAGUUAUAUCUCUUAUUGGGCCUAAAUUAAUUUUGGAGGAUAUUAAAUAAAGAGAGGAUUUAAACACUAAGCCCAAUUGGUUUUAUAUUAGGGUUUUAGAGAUUUUGGAAAGAGGGAGUUGUCAUAAUGAAGAGACAAGAAUAGAGGAGAAAGAGGCAAGACUAUGGAGAAGAAGAAGAAGAAGCUUGAAGAGUUUUCAUCCAUGGUGUCAAGUAAAGAUGCAAUUAGAGACCCAUUGAGUUGCUUCCAUUGAUAAGGUAUUCAAGUAUGAAGAUUUAGUUGCCGUUACUCGAGUCGGUUGUCGCUCUGAUACGUAGCACUCUGGGGGGAACGAUUUAUGUCAUUCAUGAUGUUGCUGUUUAAUUGUGUUAUCUUGGUUGAACAAAAUGAUAAGUUAACUGAAGAUAUUUUAUUGAAUACUUGUUUAAGUGAUUCCGCUGUGUUUUAAUAAAAUGAGUUAUUCUGUUUCAAA